rnacentral:rRNA from 1 species
AUCUUCGGACCUCACGCUAUCAGAUGAGCCUAGGUCGGAUUAGCUAGUUGGUGGGGUAAUGGCCCACCAAGGCGACGAUCCGUAACUGGUCUGAGAGGAUGAUCAGUCACACUGGAACUGAGACACGGUCCAGACUCCUACGGGAGGCAGCAGUGGGGAAUAUUGGACAAUGGGCGAAAGCCUGAUCCAGCCAUGCCGCGUGUGUGAAGAAGGUCUUCGGAUUGUAAAGCACUUUAAGUUGGGAGGAAGGGCAGUAAGUUAAUACCUUGCUGUUUUGACGUUACCAACAGAAUAAGCACCGGCUAACUUCGUGCCAGCAGCCGCGGUAAUACGAAGGGUGCAAGCGUUAAUCGGAAUUACUGGGCGUAAAGCGCGCGUAGGUGGUUCAGCAAGUUGGAUGUGAAAGCCCCGGGCUCAACCUGGGAAUUGCAUCCAAAACUACUGAGCUAGAGUACGGUAGAGGGUGGUGUAAUUUCCUGUGUAGCGGUGAAAUGCGUAGAUAUAGGAAGGAACACCAGUGGCGAAGGCGACCACCUGGACUGAUACUGACACUGGAGGUGCGAAGCGUGGGAAGCAAACAGGAUUAGAUACCCCUGGUACUCCACGCCGUAAACGAUGUCGACUACCGUUUGGAAUCCUUUGAGUCCUUAGUGGCCGCAGCUAACGCGAUAGUCGACCGGCUUGGGGAGUACGCCCGCAAGGUUAAACCUCAAAUGAAUUGACGGGGCCCGCACGAGCGUGUGGAGCAUGUG